rnacentral:rRNA from 1 species
UACGUAGGGCGCAAGCGUUGUCCGGAAUUAUUGGGCGUAAAGAGCUUGUAGGCGGUUUGUCGCGUCUGCUGUGAAAUUUCGGGGCUCAACCCCGAACUUGCAGUGGGUACGGGCAGACUAGAGUGUGGUAGGGGAGACUGGAAUUCCUGGUGUAGCGGUGAAAUGCGCAGAUAUCAGGAGGAACACCGAUGGCGAAGGCAGGUCUCUGGGCCACUACUGACGCUGAGAAGCGAAAGCAUGGGGAGCGAACAGG